rnacentral:rRNA from 1 species
GAUGAACGCUGGCGGCGUGCCUAACACAUGCAAGUCGAGCGAACAGACGAUGAUCUUGCUCCUUUCACGUGAGCCGCGGACGUGUGAGUCACACGUGUAUCACCCCCCUAUCAUACUGGUAUCUCUUCGGGACACCGGAGCUAAUACCAGAGAAUCUAUUGAACCGCAGUGUUCGAUAGUGAAAGACGGUUUUGGUGGAAGUUCUAGAUGGAUCCGCGCCGCAUUAGCUAGUUGGUAAGGUAACGGCUUACCAAGGCAACGAUGCGUAGGCGACCUGAGAGGGUGAUCGGCCACACUGGAACGGAGACACGGUCCAGACUCCUACGGGAGGCAGCAGUAGGGAAUCUUCCGCAAUGGGCGAAAGCCUGACGGAGCAGCGCCGCGUGAGUGAUGAAGGUCUUGGGAUCGUAAAGCUCUGUUAUUAGGGAAGAACAAAUGUGUACGUAGCUAUGGAGGUCUUGACGGUACCUAGUCAGAAAGCCACGGCUAACUACGUG